rnacentral:rRNA from 1 species
UACAGAGGGGGCAAGCGUUGUUCGGAAUUACUGGGCGUAAAGCGCACGUAGGCGGACUAUUAAGUCAGGGGUGAAAUCCCGGGGCUCAACCCCGAACUGCCUUUGAUACUGGUAGUCUCGAGUCCGGAAGAGGUGAGUGGAAUUCCGAGUGUAGAGGUGAAAUUCGUAGAUAUUCGGAGGAACACCAGUGGCGAAGGCGGCUCACUGGUCC